CUGAGGUCACUCUGAAGCUGCAUGCUGCCCAAGCACAGCAAAGAUUUUAUUGUUGUUUUUUGUUUUCCCCUCCUUCUCACUGCCUACAGAGCCAAAGGGCCUGUUUGUUUUCCUCUUAGUUAUCAGAAAGGUUUAUUUGCGAUUGCUUGAGAGAGGAAAAAAACCCUCUGUAGCCACAGGCAGACAAGCUCAGUGCUCAGGAACAUAAUGGCUGGAGCCUGCAGGCCCAUAUGCUCGCCAUCCUGUGAGGUGGAAGGCCAGCUCCGAUCAUCUCCAGCUGCUCAGGAUACAAUUGAUCAGCACCUCACCCUACCCUCAGUGUCUUUGUGAAGGACAAUUUUGGAAGAUCACCAGGUUGCACCUUCAAAGACUGGGCCUUUAGUGAUGCUAGGUUUUCUGCAGGCAGUGAUUUUGUAUUUCACAGGAUCUCCUACACACUGCAACCUUUUACAGCCCACUAUCGCUCAAUCCAGAAGCACAGACUGCUAAUAGCAUGAGAUGAAUAAAUGACUAGGAUGUUCAGCACCACCUGAGACACCCGGGCACAAGCAGCAGGUUUCUCACCUGCAGGUCACCAGCUCACUUCAGAAACCUGUCAUCAUCGUGCUGUCAUUUUUGAUUAAGCCAGGUGAAUUAGCAUUGUAUCCUUGGAUUUUUUUUUUUUUUAAAGAAAUAUUAAAGAGUAAAAUGAUCACUGAGACACCAUGACCAGACUAUGCGAUAUUAAAAUGAGUCAUCUGGAGUUUCUCUACUUCUAUACCAGCCUCUUCAAAGACACUUAAGGGAAUCAAUUGCCCGUAUCCCACUAAAAUCCUCUCUGUAUGUGGUUCAUGAAGCUCUGAGCCCCUUUCCCAACCCCACAGCCUCCACCCCUCACCUCUGUAGUCUCUCUAGUCCAUUAUUCUUGAGGCUGAUUUGUGAACAAUAUGUUCACUUUCUGUACGGCCUAAUGAAGAUGUUCCUGCCCCUGCAUAUUCUAUCUGCUGCAC
ensembl:lncRNA